GUAGUCUCGCACAGAUGCAUAUCAAUAAGCGGAGGAAAAGAAACUAACAAGGAUUCCCUUAGUAACGGCGAGUGAAGCGGGAAGAGCUCAAAUUUGAAAUCUUCAAGGUUUUACCUUGACGAAUUGUAGUUUAAAGAAGUGUUUUCUGCUGAAGUUUUGGUAAAAGUUCUUUGGAAUAGGACAUCAUAGAGGGUGAGAAUCCCGUAUUUGACCAUUAUUUUCAGCUUUGUGAUACACUUUCAAAGAGUCGGAUUGUUUGGGAAUGCAGUCCAAAAUGGGUGGUAAAUUUCAUCUAAAGCUAAAUAUUGGCGAGAGACCGAUAGCGAACAAGUACCGUGAGGGAAAGAUGAAAAGAACUUUGAAAAGAGAGUUAAAUAGUACGUGAAAUUGUCAAAAGGGAAGCGUUUAACACCAGUGUUGUUUUCUGAAAAUCAACCUCUGUUAGCUUUAUGCAUGUUUGUUUAGACCUAAUCAGCUAUCUUUCAUGUUCUAUUGUUUGCAGUGGUGCACUUUUCAGUUUACAGGUCAACAUCAGUUUUUUUUACCGUAAAAAAGUUAAAGAAAGGUAGCUCAUGGCUCCGGUCGUGAGUGUUAUAGUCUUUUUCCUAUGCGGUAGGAGAGAUUGAGGUCUGCAGCGUAGGAUCCUUCGGGCUAGUAUGCAGUUGUGCUAUGUGAUAGCAUUUCAUAAACAACUUGUUGACUAUGUUUAGUCUAUGUAGCAUUACUCGCUGUACCUAUUAUACCUACGCUUAGGAUGUUGAUGUGAUACUGCGAGC
rnacentral:rRNA from 1 species